rnacentral:rRNA from 1 species
AUUGAACGCUGGCGGCAUGCUUUACACAUGCAAGUCGAACGGUAACAGGCCGCAAGGUGCUGACGAGUGGCGAACGGGUGAGUAAUGCAUCGGAACGUGCCCAGUCGUGGGGGAUAACGCAGCGAAAGCUGCGCUAAUACCGAAUACGAUCUAUGGAUGAAAGCGGGGGACCGUAAGGCCUCGCGCGAUGGGAGCGGCUGAUGUCAGAUUAGGUAGUUGGUGGGGUAAAGGCUCACCAAGCCAACGAUCUGGAGCUGGUCUGAGAGGACGACCAGCCACACUAGGACUGAGACACGGCCCAGACUCCUACGGGAGGCAGCAGUGGGGAAUUUUGGACAAUGGGCGCAAGCCUGAUCCAGCAAUGCCGCGUGCAGGAAGAAGGCCUUCGGGUUGUAAACUGCUUUUGUACGGAACGAAAAGGCUCUGGUUAAUACCUGGGGCUCAUGACGGUACCGUAAGAAUAAGCACCGGCUAACUACGUGCCAGCAGCCGCGGUAA